rnacentral:rRNA from 1 species
ACGGGAGGCAGCAGUGGGGGAUAUUGCACAAUGGGGGAAACCCUGAUGCAGCGAUGCCGCGUGAGGGAAGAAGGUUUUCGGAUUGUAAACCUCUGUCUUUGGGGACGAUGAUGACGGUAUCCAGAGAGGAAGCUCCGGCUAACUACGUGCCAGCAGCCGCGGUAAUACGUAGGGGGCAAGCGUUGUCCGGAUUUACUGGGUGUAAAGGGAGCGUAGGCGGAUUUGUAAGUUGAAUGUGAAAUUUACGGGCUUAACUCGUAAACUGCGUUCAAAACUGUGAGUCUUGAGUGGAGUAGAGGCAGAUGGAAUUCCUAGUGUAGCGGUGGAAUGCGUAGAUAUUAGGAGGAACGCCGGUGGCGAAAGCGGUCUGCUGGGCUCUAACUGACGCUGAGGCUCGAAAGCAUGGGGAGCAAACAGGAUUAGAUACCCUGGUA